CCAAUUAUUAAAUUAUUAAUUAUAUAACUAAAACUACCACCGCGUUCCUCUCUCUUGCUCUCACUUUCUCCGCAACAAACUUCAACAAAGUUGGCUGACACCUACUCGCGUCGGCUCUCUCUCUCUCUCAGGUUCUUUUGAUGAUUUUUGGUGGCCUCGAGGGAUCAUUGCCUCGAAAAGAAAAAGUCAUUUGUGGAAGAUGUUAAUGCAUUGUGGAGUACUGUUCAAUUGAAGUUUAACAUGAAACCUCAUAGUUCCACUUUCAUACGGUGAAAAGGUUCAGUGCCAUUUCUACCUGAGACUUGUAAUAAAGAACUGAACCCCACCAUAAUAAUGCAAAAGAUGUUCCAAGUUCUCCAGGAAAGCAACAAAUACAUUAACAUGGCAAGGAACUAUUGAUGGAGACACAUCUGAGGAAGUAGAUAUUAUAUGGGCUUGGAGGCGUUGGAGCUAGAGAUGAUAUAAGUAGCUUUCUUCCUGAUGCCUGAAACUAUGAAGAGCUGCAGGGAGAAAUAUGCAGACCAGGUCUUGGCUGGAGGGAAUCAGCAGAAGCAAAAUAGAUUGUUUGUCAUUCCUAACAUCAUGGGUUGUUGCAGUCAACUUUUUCUGGCAUUAUUUUGCUUCUAAGAUGUUGUGAGUUCUCUUCAUGGUCUCAAUGUUUGGACAUCUCAAGGGUUUAUAGUUACUCUGAUGCUUAUGGACGGUUGCCCUCAAAGUGUGAGAGUGGCCUGUGAGCUUUGUUUAGUGUCACCUUCACUUGUUUGGACGAUUCUAUUUGGGCUGCAUUUUUUUUAAGCUACUAGAGACUACCUCGAUUUGUGGAAGUUGGAUAAUCCUUAACUAGUAUUUUUCAGCGUGUAUAUAAUCUAUUGAUUGAGACCCAACUGUCCCAAGUGACAACAAGAGAUCAGCCUUUCUAUGGCAGCAACAAGAGCAGAAGCUUCUUGCCCAGACGGCAAUAGAGUUGCUAACCUUGCGCUUUUGAGCUUUUCUUUGUAUUUGCUUGGGUUGAGUCUUGAGUGAUCUUCUAUUUCUCCAACUUAAAAUCUGACCCGAGUGUUGAACCUAUUAUUGCAAUGUAUGCCUGCUUUUGAAAAACCAAAAAAA